rnacentral:rRNA from 1 species
AUGCAUGUCUAAGUACAUACUUUUACAUAGUGAAACCGCGAAUGGCUCAUUAAAUCAGUUAUGGUUCCUUAGAUCGUACAAUCCUACUUGGAUAACUGUGGUAAUUCUAGAGCUAAUACAUGAUCCAAAGCUCCGACCCUUCGGGAAAGAGCGCGUUUAUUAGAUCAAAACCAGUCGGGUCGCAAGGCCCGUCACAUUGGUGAUGCUGGAUAACUUUGUGCUGAUCGCACGGCCUCGAGCCGGCGACGUAUCUUUCAAAUGUCUGCCCUAUCAACUUUCGAUGGUACGUGAUAUGCCUACCAUGGUUGUAACGGGUAACGGGGAAUCAGGGUUCGAUUCCGGAGAGGGAGCAUGAGAAACGGCUACCACA